rnacentral:rRNA from 1 species
CCUACGGGAGGCAGCAGUCGAGAAUCAUUCACAAUGGGGGAAACCCUGAUGGUGCGACGCCGCGUGGGGGAAUGAAGGUCUUCGGAUUGUAAACCCCUGUCAUGUGGGAGCAAAUUAAAAAGAUAGUACCACAAGAGGAAGAGACGGCUAACUCUGUGCCAGCAGCCGCGGUAAUACAGAGGUCUCAAGCGUGGUUCGGAAUCACUGGGCGUAAGGCGUGCGUAGGCGGUUUCGUAAGUCGUGUGUGAAAGGCGCGGGCUCAACCCGCGGACGGCACAUGAUACUGCGAGACUAGAGUAAUGGAGGGGGAACCGGAAUUCUCGGUGUAGGAGUGAAAUGCGUAGAUAUCGAGAGGAACACUCGUGGCGAAGGCGAGUUCCUGGACAUUAACUGACGCUGAGGCACGAAGGCCAGGGGAGCGAAAGGGAUUAGAUACCCGAGUAGUC